rnacentral:rRNA from 1 species
GAAAAUUAUUAAACUGGCGAACGGGUGAGUAACGCGUAGGCAACCUGCCCUAGAGAUUGGGAUAACAUCGGGAAACCGGUGCUAAUACCGAAUAAUGCAGCGGAUCCUUCGGGAUACAGUUGUUAAAGCGGGCUUCGGCUCGCACUUUAGGAUGGGCCUGCGUCCGAUUAGCUUGUUGGUAAGGUAACGGCUUACCAAGGCAAUGAUCGGUAGCUGGUCUGAGAGGAUGAUCAGCCACACUGGGAUUGAGAUACGGCCCAGACUCCUACGGGAGGCAGCAGUAGGGAAUUUUGCGCAAUGGGGGAAACCCUGACGCAGCAACGCCGCGUGACCGAUGAAGCUUCUAGGAGCGUAAAGGUCUGUCGUAAGGGAAGAAAAGUUUGGAUGUAAAUAAUGUUCGAACCUGACGGUACCUUACAAGAAAGCACCGGCUAACUUCGUGCCAGCAGCCGCGGUAAUACGAGGGGUGCAAGCGUUGUCCGGAAUCACUGGGCGUAAAGGGUCCGUAGGCGUCUUAAAAAGUCAUUUGUUAAAUACACCGGCUUAACCGGUGAUCUGCAUUUGAAACUAUUGAGAUAGAGUAUAGGAGAGGAAAGCGGAAUUCCUGGUGUAGCGGUGACAUGCGUAGAUAUCAGGAGGAACACCAAUGG